rnacentral:lncRNA from 1 species
GGCGCGAGUCAUUUAAGCAAAAGUCAUUCUAUUCCUCUGUAAUACUAAUUUUUGUGUUGCACUCCUGACAUGGCACAACUUUUUUUCAAAACACAUCUGUAUCAAAACGGGUUAAUGGACAAGCUUUUAUAUGUAGCUUAAAUCAUCAGUGAUUCACUAAGACAUACUAGUUGAUAUAUAUAAGAAUCUAUGGCAUAUAUCAUCAAAUUGCAAG